rnacentral:rRNA from 1 species
GGAUUAGAUACCCUGGUAGUCCACACCGUAAACGCUGAGAACUAGAUGCAGUGGAUAUUGACCUCUGCUGUGUCGUAGCUAACGCGUUAAGUUCUCCGCCUGGGGAGUACGGCCGCAAGGCUAAAACUCAAAGGAAUUGACGGGGGCCCGCACAAGCGGUGGAGCAUGUGGUUUAAUUCGACGCAACGCGCAGAACCUUACCAGGGCUAGAAAAACUGAGAACUCCGAUGAAAGUCAGAGGUGCUCGCAAGAGAACUCAGGUCCAGGUGCUGCAUGGCUGUCGUCAGCUCGUGCUG